AUUAUGUCACUUUAAUCUCAUUGCAGAAGGAUUAGUAGUGACAACUUCACAAGAAAGAUACCUGAGUUUGGCAAUUGGUGAUACCUAUCUUGGAGUAUUUGACAUGUCACAAUUAGGAAUGCAAGCAGUUUUAAAUCCCAGUGAGAUGUUUUUAAGUGAGGAGUAUUCAGGCUCAUAUGUUAUAGCGGUGGUUGUUGUAGUUACUAUGGAUGGAUCUCAAAGUUUUCUUGUAGAGAUUCAGGUAGCUUCUUAAAGAGAAAUAAGAUACUCGUUCUUGCUAGAAAAACAAAAGCAAGCACUCUCAGAGUGGUAACGGAAGUUAGCUGAUAACUUAGGCUCCAUUUGGUUGGGGAUAAUGGAAUGCAAUCAAGAGAGGCCAUCGUUCGACCACAACAGCCUGUGCAACUGGAGUCUUCCUCUCUUCUCCGGUGACUAGUUUCUUUCUUAUUACUAGGCACAAAAAAACCUUGAAAACAACACUUCAGGCGCACUACAUAUUCCCCAGGACUGGCUAGUGAUGGGUGGCAUUCUCAGCUGUAGUAGUGGACAAAAUGUGCCAUCCAUUGGAAAGUCCAAGAAAUCCUCAAUGCCUUCUGGAUAGGUCAAAAAUUUGAAUGUUGGAGACUUGUUUUUGCUCCCAUAACUUAUUCUGCUUCAAAUCAUGGUCUAAUCCCAACAAUUCUCUAUGGGUGAGCAAUUUUGACAGAGUAAGAAUCUUGCAACUCUGACCAAGCUAUGAUUUGUUAACCAACCUCACUCUAUUACAGUUUGAAUUUGUACUUUUGUUUAUAAGUAACAAA